rnacentral:rRNA from 1 species
UAGGGAAUCUUCCACAAUGGACGCAAGUCUGAUGGAGCAACGCCGCGUGAGUGAAGAAGGCUUUCGGGUCGUAAAACUCUGUUGUUGGAGAAGAAUGGUCGGCAGAGUAACUGUUGUCGGCGUGACGGUAUCCAACCAGAAAGCCACGGCUAACUACGUGCCAGCAGCCGCGGUAAUACGUAGGUGGCAAGCGUUAUCCGGAUUUAUUGGGCGUAAAGCGAGCGCAGGCGGUUUUUUAAGUCUGAUGUGAAAGCCCUCGGCUUAACCGAGGAAGCGCAUCGGAAACUGGGAAACUUGAGUGCAGAAGAGGACAGUGGAACUCCAUGUGUAGCGGUGAAAUGCGUAGAUAUAUGGAAGAACACCAGUGGCGAAGGCGGCUGUCUGGUCUGUAACUGACGCUGAGGCUCGAAAGCAUGGGUAGCGAACAGGAUUAGAUACCCUGGUAGUCCAUGCCGUAAACGAUGAAUGCUAGGUGUUGGAG